ensembl:lncRNA
CGUGAAUCCCGGCUACACAGUGAACGUUACCUGCUGCAGCUCGCAAAAAGGUGCCACCGACCUGGUAGCCUGCCAAGAAGGAGGUCCUCUACAGCGCUACUGCUCUCUCAGGUAGUUGGACCUUUCCACGCAUUACGCCAUCACAUACAUGCUUGCCAGGUAUAGACUAAGAACUGCUGAAAAAGCAAUAAAUGACCUGAGUUACAUUUCUUCUUGAGAGCCCAUUAACUCAGUCAGAUAUAAGACUACUCUAACGAACUGCUGUCCACAGCCUUCAUAAGGAAAUGUGAAGCCUCUAAGUAUUUUUGAACACUGCAACAAUAAUCAAUGUUCUGGGUGUGAUUUGAUCUAGCAUAUAAAAAUGACAGUGCUGGCUGGUAACAUUGUUCUGUCAAACAUCCAGUUAUUUGUGGUAUUGCUGCAUUUAAUUUUACUAAUUUAAAUAUUACCGACAUUGUUUGCUGCUAUUUUGGUUAAGUAACACCCCUAAGAUCCCCAAAACAUGCUGUACCAGCACUCCUCAGGGGAGAAGCAGCAGGCAGCUUGCUUCCACCCUCCCGUGCUUACAGCUUCUCCAAAUUCUGCAGAAGUAAAAAUAACAACAGUAAUUGAAGUUUCUGCUACCUUUCAGUCUGCGUGAGUUCAUGUUCUUUACUUUACCUCCAGCAUUUGGCGCUAGGCAAUCAGCAGAAGAGCCAACCUGCUCUGCAGAAAGACCCUCAGCAAGAGGACACAACAAAUACCAACAACAUGUCGCGGAACGACCAGCGUUACUCUGAGUCGAACUGCUCAGGGGAAAUCUACUACUACUUGUCCAGGAACGUUCCCCAUCCUCGGAUGGUCUGUCACAUGCAAGGAUUAAACAACGCCCCGGUCUGUCUUGUAAGAAGCAUCCUUUCAGGGCAAUACCCGGCCGCUGCCGACACAGUCACCCCCCAGCAAGAAGCUGAUCAAGAACAACAUGUGGGAACAGCAACUGGGAAUGGCAGGCGCAACGCAUCUGCCACCCACCACCUUCCAAGCCUCGAGGCUUUCCUGCAAAGGGAGCCAGGCACUUCACAGCCCACGACACGUGAGUAGGGGCACCAAACCGCCGUGUGAGACAGCAGCAGAGGAGGAACCUGCGCCGCUAAGGGUGCAGCUGGGUCUCAGCCAGGGCACUGUGUCAUUGCAGCUCAGGUCCAGGUAAAGGGAACGUAGAGCAAUGAACAUACAUUCAAAAGAUAAGUAUUUCUUCCCUUCUAUGCGUGUUAGCCACCACAUCUUACAAGAUUUCUCCUCGCUAAUUACCCUGGCAUCUUUAAAGCUUUUAGAGAUUAUAUGCUCACGAGACAUCUAAGAAUUCCCCAAUUAUCAGCAUUAUUCCAUCUGUAAGCAACAUCCUGCAGUAGUGGUUACACAGCACUAUAAGCACUAUCAUGCUUAUAGUGCACAUCUAUGAAAUGCACUUCCUAGGAUUUUCUUCCGAUUUCUUAGGCAUCUUGACAAAUAAUUGCAUUAAUGUACUAUGUGAAGUAGUAGAAGCAAACAGAAAAGGAAAGCAAUACAUCCCCUUAGAGAGAGCUAAAACAUGGCUCAGACAUUUUUGUAAUUAAGAAUGCCCCCCCCCUCCAGUAUAACCUAAGAUGUAUCUUACGGCCUUUCUGUUUCAACUUGAGAAAACGCUCUGUCUGUUAAUUUCCAGAAGGACACGCAGAUGUUCCUGAAAGGAUUCAAAGCAAGCCUACUCCGCCUGAAAAGGUAAGGGAAAAAAAGACACAGCUCUUUAUUUUCGCACACUCUCUCUUGCUUCUUAACACUGGAACCUGAACUGACAGUCUCAGACUACUCAGGAAGACAGCGCAGAACCCAGAAGAGGGAGGUGAGGAUCUCCUGUGUAGAACAUGAGAGCUUGGAAGGGAGAUGGUGUCAAGCAGGCUGAUAACUAAGCUCUAACUGUGUAUCACUUUCAGUUCUGUAACGUCACUGUGCUUUGCUAGCAAGAAAAACGGUCAAACUCAACGAAGAUGGGAAUGCAAUUCACUUUGUUUCAAAACGCUGGGGAAAAACACCAGACAACAAACAAGCACAGGAAAGAGCC